UUUUUUUAAAUCUGGAAAAGUUGCGCCUGAGUGCAUGAGAUAGAAUAGAGAUCAGUUUGCUGUUUGUUUAUUAAAUACAUUGGGUUGUAGAAUCUUGGUAACCCCCAAAUGAUCAGGAAUCUAAUCGGUAAAAAAUGUGACUUUGGCCCCUUGAUUUAUAAAUGUGUCCAAAAGCGUUACAACAGGACUCACAAAGCUCCUAAAUUUCACUUUCGCAAACAAUGUAUCUGUGACUCCCGCUUGUCGUAUUUUAAAUUUACCAUCAUUCCAUAGCUCUGAGUUUCUGUGUGAGUCCAGGAUAUUUCCUCAAUAUAAACUAGCACACUGUGUUACUAUAUGUUGCAACCAGGAGACCUAUAGUUUGCAGACUAUAUGUCCGCAAACAGUACAGAAUAUUCACCUCACAGUUGCAACUGUUCAAUGCAGUCACAAUGCCCCUCACCAGUGCUCAUGCACUGCCUGUUUUUAGGAAGUAUCCAUUUCUAAGUGUUGUGUAUAUUUUAUAGGAACACUUAGUAUUUUUGAAACCUGAUUAACAUAAAAGCAAUUAGUUUUUAGGCAGACCCACAUAAGGUAUUAAAGGCCAACUGCCAAGGACACCCUGCUAGGCUCUGUAGAUGGAUAUAUUAAAAUCCAUAAAACAAUGUAUUGAAACCUAAGAAUUCUGCUGUUUUCGAAUUCUUUCCUCUGGUCCUUUUCGUCAGCGCCUGCUUCUCCAGCCCUUCCUUCAGUCCCUCUCAUCCUUCGGACCCUCCUCUCCCUUUAGUCCCCACCACACUGUCACUUGUGAAUUGUGACACUAGCACUGUCCCAUGACCUGCUACGUGACUGUUGUCUUCACAGUGGUCCUGCUCCUGUCAGUCAGAGUGUGUCAUUUCUCCACCUAAAACACUCUGGUGUCUCCACCUCGGUCUUGUGAAACUUCUGGAGUGUCAGGCAGGAUACCCUCUAAGGUUGGCUCUUAACAAGGAAGUGGAAACCUCUGUUCUAUCUGCAAGGAAGUGAAUUCAGACAAGAACCUGAAUGAGCUUGGAAGUGGAUUCUUCCCCAGAGUCUCAAGGAAAGAACGCAGACCUGCCCGUACGUUGAUAUUAGCCCUGUGAGACUGUGUGGACUUGCAACCGACACGACUGUGACAUGAUAAUUAGGUGCUGUUUAAAGCCACUUGGUUUGUGGUAA